UGGAAUAGGAUUACAACUUUCCCAUUUAUAGAAUUAUUUCUCAACUUAUUUUCUUAACUCUUUGCUAGAAAAUCUCUUCUUCUCCUUGAUUUUCUUCUUUUCAUAAUUCAAACUAGGUCAAAACCCAAUAUAUUUCUGCUUCUUUUCUUGUCUUGCUUCAAUAGAAAAUUCUUGCUGAAAGACCUUCCUUGAUUUAGUCAAUAUAUUUCUACUUCUAAUGCUCUUUGCGCCUUGGUAGAACUGGAGCAGUUACCAUUCUAGUUGCUGGUGUUCUGAAAGAUUGGAUACUAAUAGCCCUUUCGACUGUUAUAUUUCCGGAAUCUACAAUUACCAGGCUGAAUAUCAUUGGCUAUGCAAUAGGUAGUUUUCUAUUUGCAUGAAGUGCUGCUGUAGUUGUUAAUCACAAUACUUCUUAAAAGUGAAUUUAACUUCCUUGUCUUCCAAAGUAGAAGAUUGAGGAUUCAAGUCCCCAUAGGGGCAAGUGGGUGUGUUUCUUUCCAAGGCAGAAUAUAUAUAUACAUAUAUAUAUAUAUAUAUAUGUAUGUAGAUAUAUAUGUAUGUAUGUAGAUAUAUAUAUGAAUUUAACUUGAAUACUUUCUGCAACAUUAUGUGGUGUUGUCUUAUACAACUACUUGAAGGUUAAGGAUGUUCGGGCACCUCAACUUCCUCCUGAAAGUAUUCCAAAAAGAAUUGCAAAGGAUUGGAAAUUAGAGAAGAAGUCAUCUGAUAUUUACAAUCCUGAUAGUAGUGAUAAAAAUGGAGGAAGUACUAGAGGGAAUAGUAGUGCAUCUGAUUUGAAUGUAGAUGAAGAGGCUCCUCUAAUUUCUUCACCUAGGUUAUCUCAUAUUGGACGUUCCCAACUUAGUAAUCACGGUGCAUAGUUGUGACAUCCGAAAUGCAGAUAACAUAAAUAACCAUUUAUUAGAGGAAGCACAUCAGAAGAAAAGCUAGCACAAUAGCAUCCUGCAUCCUCCUAUACAAAGUAAACGUUCAUUAUUUUAUGGGAGAUAGCUUGUGGCAAAUAAUUUCUUUAGAUGGAGAGGAUCAUUGUUAAGCUGGUAUGUUUGAUUUAAAUACAUAUACAUCACAAGUUACUUUUUAUA